rnacentral:rRNA from 1 species
UACGUAGGGGGCAAGCGUUGUCCGGAUUUAUUGGGCGUAAAGAGCGUGUAGGCGGCCAGAUAGGUCCGUUGUGAAAACUGGAGGCUUAACCUCCAGCGGUCGAUGGAAACCAUCUGGCUAGAGUCCGGAAGAGGGGAGUGGAAUUCCUGGUGUAGCGGUGAAAUGCGCAGAUAUCAGGAAGAACACCCGUGGCGAAGGCGGCUCUCUGGGACGGUACUGACGCUGAGACGCGAAAGCGUGGGGAGCGAACAGG